rnacentral:lncRNA from 1 species
AAAACGCAGAGGGAGAUGGAAAUGACCAGGAGUCGAAAGGAGAAGAGUUGUGCUCUCCUGCAGCGUUUUGCGGACGGCUGGCUAUCUUACCCAGAAUCAAUCACACUGGGACACUGAAAAAAAAAAAAAAGGAAAAAAGAGCGAGGGAGUAAUUCUAGCCUGUUUUUACAAGAACACAGUGGCUAUAGACAGUGCCAGUGUGAAGAUGACUCAGCAAACGUGGAGAACCAAAGAUUCUAGGGCAGCACCAAAACUGGGAAAGCAAUUACAGCAGAAGUUGCCUUCCCCAUGGUAGCUUAGCAACUUCGUGUCUCUCCAAGGCAGAGAGGAAAAUCAAGUCUAACAGGCCUUCCCGAAGGCUAGGUGUGAAAUACCAGAAGCCAUCUUUGUUUCUGGCGAUGUCACUAAAUAAGUAUUUGUUGAUAUAAAGUAUUACA